AUUGAACGCUGGCGGCAGGCCUAACACAUGCAAGUCGAGCGGAUGACGGGAGCUUGCUCCUUGAUUCAGCGGCGGACGGGUGAGUAAUGCCUAGGAAUCUGCCUGGUAGUGGGGGACAACGUUUCGAAAGGAACGCUAAUACCGCAUACGUCCUACGGGAGAAAGCAGGGGACCUUCGGGCCUUGCGCUAUCGGAUGAGCCUAGGUCGGAUUAGCUAGUUGGUGGGGUAAUGGCCCACCAAGGCGACGAUCCGUAACUGGUCUGAGAGGAUGAUCAGUCACACUGGAACUGAGACACGGUCCAGACUCCUACGGGAGGCAGCAGUGGGGAAUAUUGGACAAUGGGCGAAAGCCUGAUCCAGCCAUGCCGCGUGUGUGAAGAAGGUCUUCGGAUUGUAAAGCACUUUAAGUUGGGAGGAAGGGCAGUAAGCUAAUAUCUUGCUGUUUUGACGUUACCGACAGAAUAAGCACCGGCUAACUCUGUGCCAGCCGCCGCAGUAA
rnacentral:rRNA from 1 species